UUUGACUUUUGGUUUGACUUUGGUGUUGAUUCAAUUAAUUCAAUAACUAAUUUUCAUUAUUUUUAAAAUCUUUUUGGGGGAUGAUGAUGUCCUGACCCCACCUAACUUAAUUUAAUUUUUCAUCAUUUUUGUGAUUAAUUUACUAUUUAUUUGACAUUUUUUAAGUUGACUUGACUUUUCGGUUGACUUUUGUAUGAUUGAUGUUUG
rnacentral:lncRNA from 1 species